rnacentral:lncRNA from 1 species
CCCCAACGCAGGCGCGGCACGGGCACACGCGUGUUCCCGCACAUGCGGCCUGUGCACACGCGUGUCCAUGCACUUGUGCAUCCCUGUGCACGUCUGCCAGUGCACACACGUGUCCCUGAGCACACGCGGCCCAUGCCCACGCGCGUCCCUGCACACGCAGCCCAUGCACACGCGUGUCCAUGCACACACGUGCCCGUGCACUCGUGCGUCCCCGUGCACAUGCGUGCUGAGGCACACGUGUGUCCCCAUGCACAUAUGCCCAUGCGCUUGUGUGUCCCCAUGCACACGUGUGCCCAUGCACACACGCGCGUCCCUGUGCACACACAUGCACACGUGCAUCCCUGCGCACACGCGUGCCCAUGCGCUUGUGCAUCCCCGUGCACAUGCAUCUGUGCACGCAUGCAUCUCCGUGUACACGUGUGCAAGCACACGCGCGUCCCUGUGUGCACACACACCCGUGCACACGCGCGUSCCCGCACGCACACACACCCUUGCACACAUGUGUGCCCGCACACAUGUGCACCCGAGCACUUGGGCAUCCCCACGCACACACGUGCCAAUGCACACGCGCGUCCCCACGCACACACACACCCUUGCACACGCGCGUCCCCACGCACACAGACACCCGUGCACACGCGCGUGCCCGCACACAUGUGCACCCGAGCACUUGAGCAUCCCCACGCACACACGUGCCAAUGCACACGCGUGUCCCCCCCACACACACACCCUUGCACACGCGCGUCCCUGUGUGCACACACACCUGUGCACACGCGCGUCCCCGCACACAUGUGCACCCGAGCACUUGGGCAUCCCCACGCACACACGUGCCAAUGCACACGCGCGUCCCUGUGUGCACACACACCCCCUUGCACACGCGCGUGCCCGCGCACACGGGUGCCGCCGGGCGGCAGCACCGCCGUCUCCCCUCCGGCGGCGGCACCGCAGCGGGUUCCUUCCCUCGUGUCACUGUUUUCCGCAAACACUCCCACGCCGUCCUUACGCGAACCGGCAAUUAGGGGGAAACCGCUGCGCGCGGGCACACACACACNNNNNNNNNNN